UAAAUACCAAAAUUUUAGACCCGUUCGGAUAUUUAAUUAAUUUCGGUUCGGGUUUGGUACUAAUUUUUCGGAUCGAGUUCGAUUUGGUUCUUCGGAUCCGGGUUUUUUUGCCCCCUAUUCACAAGGAUUGAGUUACUCUUGCUUUUCUAAUUUAUUUAUGUUAGAAAUGAUCAUGAGAAAAUCAUAUAAAUUUGAAAGUUCCAAUUUUACGCUGAAAAUACAGUUUUAAAUGAAAAAUCCAUUCUGUUUUAUAAAGACAAACAUAGUAUACACUCUAACUUUACAAGCUUUUGUAUCCAGAGAUUAAGAUACUCUCUGCAAUUAAUUAA
rnacentral:lncRNA from 1 species